GAUGAACGCUGGCGGCGUGCCUAAUACAUGCAAGUCGAGCGAACAGACGAGGAGCUUGCUCCUCUGACGUUAGCGGCGGACGGGUGAGUAACACGUGGAUAACCUACCUAUAAGACUGGGAUAACUUCGGGAAACCGGAGCUAAUACCGGAUAAUAUAUUGAACCGCAUGGUUCAAUAGUGAAAGACGGUUUUGCUGUCACUUAUAGAUGGAUCCGCGCCGCAUUAGCUAGUUGGUAAGGUAACGGCUUACCAAGGCGACGAUGCGUAGCCGACCUGAGAGGGUGAUCGGCCACACUGGAACUGAGACACGGUCCAGACUCCUACGGGAGGCAGCGGUAGGGAAUCUUCCGCAAUGGGCGAAAGCCUGACGGAGCGACGCCGCGUGAGUGAUGAAGGUCUUCGGAUCGUAAAACUCUGUUAUUAGGGAAGAACAAAUGUGUAAGUAACUAUGCACGUCUUGACGGUACCUAAUCAGAAAGCCACGGCUAACUACGUG
rnacentral:rRNA from 1 species